AUUGAACGCUGGCGGCAGGCCUAACACAUGCAAGUCGAGCGGGUGACGGGAGCUUGCUCCCUGAUUCAGCGGCGGACGGGUGAGUAAUGCCUAGGAAUCUGCCUAUUAGUGGGGGACAACGUUUCGAAAGGAACGCUAAUACCGCAUACGUCCUACGGGAGACAGCAGGGGACCUUCGGGCCUUGCGCUAAUAGAUGAGUCUAGGUCGGAUUAGCUUGUUGGUGAGGUAAUGGCUCACCAAGGCGACGAUCCGUAACUGGUCUGAGAGGAUGGUCAGUCACACUGGGACUGAGACACGGUCCAGACUCCUACGGGAGGCAGCAGUGGGGAAAAUUGGAGAAUGGGCGAAAGCCUGAUCCAGCCAUGCCGCGUGUGUGAAGAAGGUCUUCGGAUUGUAAAGCACUUUAAGUUGGAAGGAAGGGUUGUAGAUUAAUACUCUGCAAUUUUGACGUUACCGACAGAAUAAGCACCGGCUAACUCUGUGCCAGCAGCCGCCGUAA
rnacentral:rRNA from 1 species